AGACACAGACAGAGAGAGAGAGAGAGAGACUGUGGGUCAACAGUUUGCCAAGUGAAGUGACAGACACACGCAAACACGGGAGAGAGGCCUGGCGGCAGCACCCACUGACCCACUCCUGCUGAUGUCAACACUGGCUGAAGACGAGCGUGGAUGGAGGAGCCACCGCUGCCUCGCUGCCCGAGCCUCUAGAUGUCGGCGUGUGACCACACCGUCCCCCACCACAAAGCUGGGCAUGGAAAAGUGUGAGCGUCCACAGAGCCAGACUCACAGGUGGAGGCAGGCGGCGGGAUGCGGGGUGCUGUGGGUGUUUCUCUGGCAGUGUCUUAGCUGGUUGUUGUGAGGAGUGAGAACGAAGCAAUCAGCAAGUAUACUGCCGCAGAAAUUCUUCACAAUAAAAAAGCCCCGGGAUCUUAGCCGCUCACGUCUGCGAGACAAAUGAGAGUGAGGGGAAAACGCGGAUCAGCAAAGUGAGUGCAGCAAAGCACGCGGUCCUCCUGCUGCUACUGUAAGUUUUCACACGUGUGCUGACACAGUAGAAAUUAACCAGAGCUAUAAACAGAAUUAACCGAUGAUAGAUGGCCUGUUUUCAUUUACGGCCUGUGAAAUGUUUGGGAUCGAGGUGUCAAACUUUAUUUAACACUUGGUCCUCUGCUGCCAUCUUGUGACAGAAAACAGCUUCCCACCACACAUAAUGUUCUUUUUCAUAGAACAUUUGUAUGAACUAGUCAUUUGAGACAAUCCAUAAAUUCCUUUCACUGAGAAAACUUUUGGGAUUUCAUAUUUUACAGUUGCAAAUGCACGUUGUGUGUAUUUCUCUGGACGUUAUCACAUAACAAGUGGAUAUGGUCAGUUGUAGACUAAUAAUGUGGCUUUUAAAAAAAUAAAGGUUUCAUAAAAGCGA